UUUACAUGCACUAUUGUAAAGUGGUUGUUCCACUGGAUAUCAUAAGGUGAAUGCACCAAUUUGUAAGUCGCUCUGGAUAAGAGCGUCUGCUAAAUGACUUAAAUGUAAAUGUAAAAUGUAAUGGAGCCCCAAACCCUGCCUAUUUCUACAAUUUCACUUAUUAAAAUCAGAUUUGAACCUUAACCACAUAUUUAACCUUAUGCCUAACCUUAAGUUAAGACCAAAAAGCAAUGUUUGUUUUCUUACAUUUUUACGAUACAGCCAAUGUUGACUUUGUGGCUGUGUUAUCUAGUGGAAACCGGAUUUUGGCAGUGAAAGGCAAGGUGAUGGGUUUGUUAUAAAAAUCUUUGGUGGUGGUGGUGAAGUAGGGACGAUGGCUGACGAUAAAAAGGUAAGCUCUAUAGUUUUUCAGUAGAGAACCUAACCAACCAACUUAUCACCUGUGAUUUCGAAAUUGAAAUUGAUGUAGGAAGCUAGCUAGUUACUUGUUCUUCUGUUAUUGAAGCAGGAUGUCUACAGUGGUGGAAAAAGUACCCAAUUGUCAUACUUGAGUAAAAGUAAAGAUACCUUAGUAGAAAAUGACUCAAGUAAAAGUGGAAGUCACCCAGUAAAAUACACCUUGAGUAAAAUUCUAAAAGCUGUUGGUUUUAAACAUACUUAAGCAUCAAAGUAAAUGUAAUUGCUAAAAUAUACUUAAGUAUCAAAAGUAAAAGUACAAGUCUAAAUAAUUUCAAAUUCCUUAUUAAGCAAACCAGACGGCACCAUUUUUUUGUUUUAUUUAUUUACGGAUAGCCAGGGGCACGCUCCAACACUCAGACAUCAUUUAUAAACGAAGAUUGUGUUUAGUGAGACCGCCAGAUCAGAGGCAGUAGUGAUGACCAGGGAUGUUCUCUUGAUAAGUGUGUGAAUUAGACCAUUUUCCUAUUCAGCUAAACAUUCAAAAUGUAACCAGUACUUUUGGGUGGCAGGGAAAAUGUAUGCAGUAAAAAGUACAUUUUCUUUAGGAAUGUAGUGAAGUAAAAGUUGUCAAAAACUGGGAGGGAGUGGCAGAGGAGGGGGAGCCAAGAGAGAUCAAACUCUGAAGUAAAUAGCCAAUAUUAUAAACCGCUAACUGCGUACUUUGAGUUAUAGACUAUUUGAAACCCAGAUUUGAUUCACUUUUACUCUGGCAGUUUUUGUGCAGUUACAACAAAAGAGAAUGAUUCUAACCAUCUCUCUCUCCAUCUACCUCUCCAUGCAGGCCCACUUUAACUAUGUGGUGGAGAAGUUAUUCAGUGCUUGGCUGACAGAGAUAGGAGAUACAGGAGUCCACUGUUUAAAGUACCUCGGGUCUCUUCUAUGCACAGCACUCUGGGGACUUGCUGCAGGACAAUGACCCAACACACCUCCAGGCUGGAGAGUGAUGGAGCGCUGUAUCGGAUGACCUGGCCUCCACAAUCACCCGACCUCAACCCAAUUGAGAUGGUUUGAGAUGAGUUGGACCGCAGAGUGAAGGGAAAGCAGCCAACGAGCUCAGCUUUUUUUAUAUUUGGUGCUCCCCAGACCAAUGUUUCGAGGCAGGGAUGAACUACGCUGUUCAUCUGAGCUUUCCCCUCUACUCUGCACUCAGUGAUGUCCAGUACCCAUGCACACUCACCGACUCUGGUUGUUCUCAAGACAGCGGUAAUGCUGGAACUAACCGAGUGUGGUCAAGACCCCCUCCACAGACAUCUGCUGCAUCUUCAUCUUAAACAUGUCAGCUCUGCAGCACCAGGGAGCUAAAGGUGUGGCACCGCACUCCCAACAGUCAUGUAUGACUGCUUAAACAUACUUCAACAUACUUGUAUACUCAUUUAUGUGUUUCUUAACUAAACAUCCAAGGAAGGUUUCUUAUGGCUCAAUAAUACUGACAUGGAUUGUACACCUUUGCUUAGCCCCACAUAGUGAGGUCUGCCAUUCCAUAUUUAGGCAAACAUAGAACAGCUCCAUGCCAUUUUAUCUUUCUUUGAUUCCUGGCAUCCUUUUUCCGUACCUCCUUAGCCCCCCAUCGGCUCAGACCUACAAUGGGUUUUGAGAAGGAUGCGGGUAGAGGAAGUGAAGAGUUGAGCUGAGAUUAAUUGGGACAGAGCUCAUGUCAUUGUUUUAGGUGGAAUCUUAUGUUGAAAUAUACCAUCAAAAAGUAUUCACACCCCUUGACUUUUUCCACAUUUGUUGUGUUACAGCCUGAAUUUAAAAUGAAUGAAAUGUAGAUUUUGUGUCACUGGCCUACACACAAAACCCCAUAACCCUUAUGGAAGAACCACAUGAUUUCACAUGUGAAAUGUCCAAGUUUUCCACAUGUAAAAUGUUAUGUUAUCAUGUGAAACCAUGUUGUUUUGGAACAGUUCACAUGUGAUGAUAUUUCACAUGGAUUUUCACAUGUACAUAACCUUUCACAUGUGAAAUCAUGUGAAACCAUGUUGUUUUGGAACACUUCACGUCAUGAUAUUUCACAUGUGGAUAAUUUGGCGAUGCCCUGCAAACAAAAAUGAGUCAUUAGGAUGUACCCGGAACAUCACGCAGUCGCAGUGUUUUCAACUUACAUGUUGGAAACACUUUGACAUACAUGCUGACAUUGUGCAUGUUAAUUUAUACAGUAAUUAUUAUUCAACCCACCUGGAAUAUGAAAUCACAACCUCUUGGUUCACGGCAUUCUGAUCUUCCUGCUAUGCACCCAUGUCUGUGUCAAUAACUGAUUUCACCUGUAUUCCUACACUUUGGACUUCAAAGUAAAUCCCAGCUUUGUUAAAAAUACACUCAAGAAAAACUAUAUAUUUAUCAAAGUGAUUUAGGAGUAACAUUAAAACAGAAUAAUAUGGCCCACCAACAUUAGACAACUGUAUAGAAAACCCCUCAAAUUGCUGAAAUAAGUAAAUUGAAUCAUGAGAUGAUAACUAACAUAGCAGUGCAGAUGUUGCUAUUUUGCUAAAUCCAGAGGUUGUGAGUUCAAAUCCCAGAAGAGGUCAUAUUUAAAAGUCAGCACUAAGUGUUUAAUCAUAUUGAUUAAAGAUGUUUACAUUAUUUUAGCUGAACAGUGUAUCUCUUAGCCUAAAACCCCCAUACCACUUAAUUACUUCCCUUACAAAAAAUACAAUUGUGAAAUGUGAAAAUUCACAAUUUUCACAUGUGAAAACAGGUCAGUUGUGCACAUGUGAAAACAUAUGUUUACAAAUAUUGCAUUUAAUAUUAACACAACCUUUUCACAUUGAGAAUAAUUAACAUGUUUUCACCUCACACUUGAAUUGAAAACCAAAUUCUUACAUGUGGAAUUGCAUUUUCACACUUUACAAACUUUCACAUGUGAAAAUCGAAUUCUGACAUGUGGAAUAGCAUUUUCACAUGUGAAAAACUUAGAAAUUUGGCAUCCCCAUGUUGUCACAUUUAUUUAACAUGAGAUUGUUUUCACAUGUGUAGUUUCAUGUUAUCACAUGUUGCUUUUACAUGUUGUGACAUGUUAUCACAUUACAGUAACUUUACAUAAUAUCACAUGAUCACAUGAAAUUCAUGUCGUUUUUCUGUAACGGAAUGUCAAAGUGGAAUAUUUUUUGAAACGUUUACAGAUUAAUAAAAAAUUAAAAGCUGAAA